rnacentral:lncRNA from 1 species
GUUUGGUGAUCCAGGGCGUGCAUUCCCUGUAUGAUUGGCUUGACUGCAAUGACAUCACAGAAGAGGUGGGCAACCUAGAAUGCAGGGAGCAGGGAAUGCACCUGCAGAUCUUACUAUGUGGAUCCCAAAGAGGGUCACAAACAGACUCACUAUGCCAAAUGCCCUCCUUCCAUACUGAGAAAAAGACCACCCUUCAACCAAGAUCUCAGCAAAACACGAAAAGCAGAGCGGCGAGUUCGGUUCCAGGAACCAGAAGAGAUCAUUAGACGUGGUAUGUUUGGGAUAUGACACUAAUGAUCCAGAAUACCUUCUGUCUGUCGCAUGCUGUCUCACAACCAAUCUUUUGGAGGGGGUUCUUCUCACAUUUCUUCCACCAGGUGUCCAUCUAUAUCCGAGUAACUUUUCCAAAGUUCUCAGAGUUAUGUAGCCAUCGGAGCCUUUCUAAAAAACCUUC